CCUACGGGGGGCAGCAGUGGGGAAUAUUGGACAAUGGGGGGAACCCUGAUCCAGCCAUGCCGCGUGUGUGAAGAAGGCCCUCGGGUUGUAAAGCACUUUCAGUGAGGAAGAACGCCUGGUGGUUAAUACCCAUCAGGAAAGACAUCACUCACAGAAGAAGCACCGGCUAACUCCGUGCCAGCAGCCGCGGUAAUACGGAGGGUGCGAGCGUUAAUCGGAAUUACUGGGCGUAAAGCGCGCGUAGGUGGCUUGAUAAGCCGGUUGUGAAAGCCCCGGGCUCAACCUGGGAACGGCAUCCGGAACUGUCAAGCUAGAGUGCAGGAGAGGAAGGUAGAAUUCCCGGCGUAGCGGUGAAAUGCGUAGAGAUCGGGAGGAAUACCAGUGGCGAAGGCGGCCUUCUGGACUGACACUGACACUGAGGUGCGAAAGCGUGGGUAGCAAACAGGAUUAGAUACCCGGGUAGUC
rnacentral:rRNA from 1 species